rnacentral:sRNA from 1 species
GAUGAAGGAGGGAGGGAUGGGCAGGUAGAUGGAUAGAUUAGUGGAUGGAUGGGUGGAUGGGCUGACAAAUGGCUUGUUCCCAGACUGUUUGUCCUUGGGUGGAGUCAUGCAGGUAUCUAUUGCAGCUGGGCCUGAACCGAUAUCUGAAGAGAGAAGUGGAGACAGCGACCAGACAGAUGAGGAUGGAGAACCUGACUCAGAGGCCCAGGCCCAGGCCCAGCCCUUUGGCAGCAAAAAAAAGCGCCUCCUCUCCGUCCACGACUUCGACUUCGAGGGAGACUCAGAUGACUCCACUCAGCCUCAAGGUCACUCCCUGCACCUGUCCUCAGUCCCUGAGGCCAGGGACAGCCCACAGUCCCUCACAGAUGAGUCCUGCUCGGAGAAGGCAGCCCCCCACAAGACUGAGGGCCUGGAGGAGGCUGACACUGGGGCCUCUGGGUGCCAAUCCCAUCCGGAAGAGCAGCCGACCAGCAUCUUGCCUUCUGGACACAGCACCCUGGCUGAGCUCUGCCCGCCUGGAGGCUCCCACAGGAUGGCCCUGGGGACUGCUGCUGCACUCGGGUCGAAUGUCAUCAGGAAUGAGCAGCUGCCCCUGCAGUACUUGGCCGAUGUGGACACCUCUGAUGAGGAAAGCAUCCGGGCUCACGUGAUGGCCUCCCACCAUUCCAAGCGGAGAGGCCGGGCGUCUUCUGAGAGUCAGAUCUUUGAGCUGAAUAAGCGUAUUUCAGCUGUGGAAUGCCUGCUGACCUACCUGGAGAACACAGUUGUGCCUCCCUUGGCCAAGGGUCUAGGCGCUGGAGUGCGCACGGAGGCCGAUGUGGAGGAGGAGGCCCUGAGGAGGAAGCUGGAGGAGCUGACCAGCAACGUCAGUGACCAGGGGACC